ACAUGAAGCGAGGCUCUCUGCCGUUACCCACCUGGAGACUGCUCAUCCAAACUACUUCACUUCAUCAAGCAAACCAAUGCCAGUCAGAACUGGUGGGAGAAGAGGCUUAGAAGUUACUAGUGGCUAUGUGUAUUCAUCUAGCUACUAUGGGAAUCGGUGUGGAGGAGCCUCAAAAAGCUAAAACUUGACCUAGCCAUACAACUUACAUGACAUAAAUAAAUACAUAAAUAUCAGGUGGCAGUGGAUAUUUCUGCACAUCUUUGUUUUUCAUGACACUACUCACAAUAGCCAGGUUAUGGAAUAUGCCAAAGUAUUCAUGGUGCGUGAACACAAUAGGGAUUUACCCAGCCACAAAGAAUGAAAUUAAGCAUUUGCAGGAAAUUGGGAUCAGAGAUCAUGUUAGGUAAUAAAAGGCAGACACCUAAAGACAUGUACACAUGUUUUAUCUCCUUUGUGGAUGCUGUGGGAGGGGUAGUAAUAUAAAAGAAUUAGCAGUGGGAAAGAUACAGGGAUUAUAUGAAUGUAGUGGAGGUCUGAGGACCACAGACGUGGCUCAGUGGAUAAAGGCACUUGCCUCCAAGCCUGACAACUUGGUGUCAUUCCCUCAAAUCCGUGUGGUCAAAAAGGAGAACUGACUCUCAAGAGCUGACCUCUGACCUCCAGAUGCACAUGGUAGACGUGCCUGGAACCGUGAAGUAAAAUGUUUCUAAAAAUAGAAGUAAUGUGAGACACAGAAUCAAAGAAUAUUACAUGUGUGUUGGGAAUGUUAUGAAACCCUUUAUACAAUUAAUACAAGUUUUAAAUUAAAUGUCCCAGCACCUGUGUCAUUUCUAUUGUGGUAAUAUUUUUUCCUAAUGAUCUUGGGAAGAAGCAAUAUUUUUGGAAGGAGCAAGGAAGGAAGGAAGGGAGGAAGGAAGGAAGGAAAGAAGGGAAAGGGGGAGAAGGGACAAAAACCAGAGUACUAGAAAGAGUCUAUAGAGAUGGAACAAAAGCCUUCAUUUGUGUGUCUGUGCUGAAGGAAGAACACAGACAACAGCAUGGUUGCUUAUUUCUCCCAUGGAGAAACAAAGGAUCCUACUGGAACAUUGUCCUCACACCUGAUGGUCUUUCUAAGAGGCACUUUUAAUAUUGCUAUCACUUUCUGUUUUUUGUUUUUUUCACUUGAAAUAUAAAACUCAGCAUGGUUCAUUUAGAAGACGGAUUGACUCCCUUGUGUUGAUAAGCAUUCUGCUAUUAUUUUUUGGCAUUUCUUGGUGAUAGAUUUGAUCUGCACUGAACUUGAAAACAUUAAAAAGAAUAGAUUUUUAAAUUGAAAUGAUUCACACUAUGUUUUAUUUAAACAGAACUCUCUGUGUGUGCCCAUAAGAUUAACCUGGAAGGGCCUGUUUUUUCUUUUUUCUUCUUAUUUUGAGUAACUGUCCAUUUACUGUUUAAAAGCCAAUACCCAACAAGCUAUUAAUUUACCAAUUUCAGUUUUUAAAAAAAUCACAUGGGUUAUUAUGUAUUCUUAGCUUAUAUAACCAUACAUUUUAAACUAAUACUACUUUUUUCUUUCUUCUACCAAAAUGGACCAUGCCCAAUUUUAUUUUUGUCAGCAUGUGAGGCAACUGGUUCUGUAAAGAUUUAAAUUUAGGGACAUUUAGGCAUUUGAAGAAUGUUUCUUCCCAAAUAAGUUUUUGUACUGUCCAUGCCACCAUUUCCAGUAAUGGUGUUGUUAGAGGGCAUUGUAAAUUGGAGGAAGGUAGAUCGAACAAGUUAACUAGAUUCAGUGCACAUUGGCUCCUGCUGAGUGAGUGAAGUGGGCAAUGGCCCUAACAAGUUCGCUGUCUGCAGAGUACCUCUGUGGAGCCAGAGUACAUGCUGAAGGUUCCAACGCCCUGUACUCCAGAGUGAUGCCCUUAGUGCUUAGAAGCCAGAACUUUUUCUCAUCGGAAAGCUCUAAAGAGAGAAACACAUCAUUGGCGACAGAUGGCUUUCGUUGGAAAUUCAGGAAAUAUCUAUAUUAUGACAAUUACAUCUUGCAAAAAGUGAUGUCAUCUGGUUCUGAUUUUCCUUUGAUAAAUUAGAAACUAGACAUGGUGGUUCACAUUGGUGAUCCCAAUGCUCCCGAAACAGAAGCAGUCCAUCAAUGCAAUGUACAGGCCAAGUAGGACUUCAUAGUAAAGCCCUAUCUCAAAAAAGGAAAGUAAGUACAAAUAAUAAAUUAGUAAGUAAAAAUGAACUAAAGUAAUAAGAGUGGGCAAGAUGUCUCAACAGAUAAAGAUGUCUAGUGUCAAACCUAGGAGCUAGAGUUUGAUGCCUAUCACCUACACAGUAGCAGAACAACACCUAGUUGCCCCUCACCCUCCACAACAGUCCUCAACCAAAGACAAUGUAAUAUUUAAAAAAUAAAAUAAAAAUCAAG
rnacentral:lncRNA from 1 species